UACGUAGGGUCCGAGCGUUGUCCGGAAUUACUGGGCGUAAAGCGUGCGCAGGCGGCUUCUUAGGCAUGACGUGAAAGCCCCGGGCUCAACCCGGGAGGGUCGUCGUGAACCGGGGGGCUUGAGGGCCGGUAGAGGUGGGUGGAACGUCCGUGGUGGAGUGGGUGAAAUGGCGUAAGAGAUCAGGAAGAACACCCGUGGCGAAGCGGCCCACUGGGCCGGUCACUGGACGGCUCAUGCACGAAAGCGUAGGGGAGCGAAACAAGG
rnacentral:rRNA from 1 species